AUGUACAGAGAGAGAUCCCUCCCCAGUGGCCCAUUCGGGGGUUGUUUUUUUUGCCUGAGAGGUUUGUCAUCUUGUCUCGUCGUCUUCGUUCCUUCUGCUGUGUGCAUCUUCGCUCCUUCUGCUGUGUGCAUCUUCGCUCCUUCUGCUGUGUGCAUCUUCGCUCCUUCUGCUGUGUGCAUCUUCGCUCCUUCUGCUGUGUGCAUCUUCGCUCCUUCUGCUGUGUGCAUCUUCUGCUGUGUGCAUAAAGCUCUAUUCUAUAAGGAAUUGUCAACUCGUUCUCACUCUGAGAAACAAGGCCACCUGAUUUCCAACAUGACCGUCCUGUUCAAACAGUCCAGUUUCGUAACAAUUCAGUUUUACCUUGUGAACUAGCAACUUGUUUUUUUUUUUUUAAAGUUGGAUAAACGUUUCUAGGCUUGUGUUUGAGAGAUUUUGUUGACGACACCUGUUUAUUUAAUAUUCUAUCACGCCUGCUUCCAGAAGUUGGUCGUUAUUCGUUGAAUGUGCGUUUUAUGCAUGGUACUGGUCACGUUUCUAAUAAAAAUGACAUUUUCAUAGACCUACAAGCAAGAUCAUUGAUUAUUGCAAAAACAAAACAAAAAAGCAGGUUUAAACUAUUUAGAUAAAACGGUACAGUUAUUAGUGGGUUUUAUGGUUGUGGAAGGGCAUAUAUUUAACCUAGGUAUCAUUUCACAAGUCCAGAACUUAUUAGACUAUUGCUGACUGUUUUUUGUAUUUUACCUUUUAAAAUGACAGUGUAUUUAAAGAAAACAUAUAAAAAAUAUAUGUUUAGGUAUGAUUUUUAGGCCGUAUUACCACAGCCAGGUCACCCGGGUCAGAGGUCAUUAUUCGACGUCCGUCCAUGUCUGAGGAUGUCGGGGAAACGAUGUGGGAACCGACCACUAGGGGCAACAGUGAGCGCUGUUACCUUCAGGUAGGUAACGGCAGCCUCUGAUUCCAAAGGUUGCAUCUUUUGAAUCCAGCAAUAAUGUUUGUUUCAAAAAUAAAUGUUUUGAGUCUAUCCCAAACCUUGGCCCUAACCUUAAAGAUAAACGUUAACCAAUCAGAGUUAGUGGCUAAAGGUUAGGCACUAACUCUGAAUGGUUAAAGCACUAACUCUGAUUGGUUAAAGGUUAGGCACUAACUCUGAAUGGUUAUCUUAAACACUUUUUUUUAUGUUUGGAACAACUUCAAAAUUGUGACAUUUUGAAAAACAUGGAUCAACGUCCAAUUGCGACGUGAGACUGAGAGAGUUUGUAAAUCAGCCCCGCCCAUGUCACAGGCCGGGGGCCAAUCACACGCUGAGACACAUCUCCUGAGAUCAGAAGGGCUCUGGCUUUGACAGGACAGGUAAUGAAGCUUGCCUGUGUCUGGCGAGACGAGACGAGAGAGACAGCCAAUUAUGUGUCUCCGUGCAAACACAACCCCUCCCCCCUGUCAAGUUGACAGGUGAGAGAGAGAUCAUAGACAUGUCUUUCUAAAAAGCUGGGCUCAGCUUCGUAAGCUCCUAUGUUCUCCGCCCCCUGCUAUUCAAAUGACUUCACUCCCAAAGGAUUUGGCCGGUCACCUGUCAGGCAGAGCGUCAACAACAAUCCUCACUACUGCGUGGAUUUGGAAUCGUACACCAGGGCCAGUAGUCAUAAAGUCUCUCAGAGUAGGAGUGCUGAUCAGUUUAGGCUUUUGCCAACCUAGCCACUAACUGAAUACAGGCCCAGGACAUGUUGGCUGAAGCCUAACCUGAUCCUAGAUCAGCACUCCUACUCUGAGAGGAUUGAUACAUGUUAACCUGAUCCUAGACAUUUUAUGUUUGACCUUUUAUUUAACUUGGCAAGUCAGUUAAUACAAUUAUUAUUUUUUUUUUUACAAUGACGGACGACACUGGGCCAAUUGUGUGCCCAGCGUCUAUGGGACUUCCAACCACGGCCGGUUGUGAUUCCGCCUGGAUUCGAACCAGGGUCUGUAGUGAAACCUCUAGCACUGAGAUGCAGUGACUUAGACCGUUGUGCCACCCGGGAGCCCUGAGGGGGGACCUGAUGAGAGAGAUUAUAGGAGCUCCGAUUGGGGGACCUGAUGAGAGAGAUUAUAGGAGCCCCGAGGAGGGAUUAUAGUUCCCUCUUUCCUCAACUAUUCCCGUUAGGAUUCUGGGUUGGAAGUCAUUUUCAAUGAGAGGAGUGGGUACGUUUCCACCACGUUUUUCUUGCCCUGAAUCCAUUACUUUCAAAUCGAUGAGGGAGAGGGAACAAGUGCACACUUCCAAGGGGGGGGCGGGGGGGUUUAGAUAAAUUUAGAGGAUUGGGUAUCCAGCCCUAGAGUCGUCAAGUCUCUCUGCAAUCCGACCGGUUGAGAGUUAGUUACGACCCCCUCCUCUUCCAUGGUUACAAACACCACGGUAACGGCACGGUUGGUGUUUUGGGUGCAUCCAGAACAUACAGAAUUAGUAGUAUGGGUGUUCACACACACACAGGGUAAGUGUAUGUAAUACACAACAGCUGUGGGGUAUUUUUGAUUGUCUGUGUUCCAAUAAAUUGUAUGGCAUGUUUUCUUUUUCACGUCUCUCUUUUAAUGAAUAAAACACUUAGGGAGACAUUACAGAUUAACAUGAAUAAACCCUUAGAGAGACAUUACAGAUUAACAUGAAUAAAACACUUAGAGAAACAUUACAGAUUAACAUGAAUAAACCCUUAGAGAGACAUUACAGAUUAACAUGAAUAAACCCUUAGAGAGACAUUACAGAUUAUCAUGAAUAAACCCUUAGAGAGACAUUACAGAUUAUCAUGAAUAAACCCUUAGAGAGACAUUACAGAUUAUCUUGAAUAAACCCUUAGGGAGACAUUACAGAUUAUCAUGAAUAAACCCUUAGAGAGACAUUACAGAUUAUCAUGAAUAAACCCUUAGAGAGACAUUACAGAUUAUCAUGAAUAAACCCUUAAGAGAGACAUUACAGAUUAUCAUGAAUAAACCCUUAGAGAGACAUUACAGAUUAACAUGAAUAAACUCUUAAGAGAGACAUUACAGAUUAUCAUGAAUAAACCCUUGAGAGACAUUACAUGACAGAAUAACAUGGAAGGACAGUACAAACUAUAUGAGCCUGGUGUCUAUUUACAACACACUGGUUUCCAAAACAGAUUCAGUCCACAUCCAGGACUAUGUUUAUCAGAAACUAGUCCACGUCCAGGACUAUGUUUAUCAGACACUAGUCCAUAUUCCAGGACUAUGUUUAUCAGAAACUAGUCCACAUUCCAGGACUAUGUUUAUCAGAAACUAGUCCACAUUCAGGACUAUGUUUAUCAGAAACUAGUCCACAUUCAGGACUAUGUUUAUCAGAAACUAGUCCACAUUCAGGACUAUGUUUAUCAGAAACUAGUCCACAUUCAGGACUAUGUUUAUCAGAAACUAGUCCACAGUCCAGGACUAUGUUUAUCAGAAACUAGUCCACAUUCAGGACUAUGUUUAUCAGAAACUAGUCCACAGUCCAGGACUAUGUUUAUCAGAAACUAGUCCACAUUCC
rnacentral:lncRNA from 13 species